UUUAAUUUUGAACGAGUGGCGGACGGGUGAGUAACACGUGGGUAACCUGCCCUUAAGUGGGGGAUAACAUUUGGAAACAGAUGCUAAUACCGCAUAAAUCCAAGAACCGCAUGGUUCUUGGCUGAAAGAUGGCGUAAGCUAUCGCUUUUGGAUGGACCCGCGGCGUAUUAGCUAGUUGGUGAGGUAACGGCUCACCAAGGCAAUGAUACGUAGCCGAACUGAGAGGUCGAUCGGCCACAUUGGGACUGAGACACGGCCCAAACUCCUACGGGAGGCAGCAGUAGGGAAUCUUCCACAAUGGACGCAAGUCUGAUGGAGCAACGCCGCGUGAGUGAAGAAGGCUUUCGGGUCGUAAAACUCUGUUGUUGGAGAAGAAUGGUCGGCAGAGUAACUGUUGUCGGCGUGACGGUAUCCAACCAGAAAGCCACGGCUAACUACGUGCCAGCAGCCGCGGUAAUACGUAGGUGGCAAGCGUUAUCCGGAUUUAUUGGGCGUAAAGCGAGCGCAGGCGGUUUUUUAAGUCUGAUGUGAAAGCCCUCGGCUUAACCGAGGAAGUGCAUCGGAAACUGGAAAACUUGAGUGCAGAAGAGGACAGUGGAACUCCAUGUGUAGCGGUGAAAUGCGUAGAUAUAUGGAAGAACACCAGUGGCGAAGGCGGCUGUCUGGUCUGUAACUGACGCUGAGGCUCGAAAGCAUGGGUAGCGAACAGGAUUAGAUACCCUGGUAGUCCAUGCCGUAAACGAUGAAUGCUA
rnacentral:rRNA from 1 species